rnacentral:rRNA from 1 species
UACGUAGGGUGCAAGCGUUGUCCGGAAUUAUUGGGCGUAAAGAGCUCGUAGGCGGUCUGUCGCGUCGGCUGUGAAAACCCGGAGCUCAACUCCGGGCCUGCAGUCGAUACGGGCAGACUGGAGUUCGGCAGGGGAGACUGGAAUUCCUGGUGUAGCGGUGAAAUGCGCAGAUAUCAGGAAGAACACCGGUGGCGAAGGCGGCUCUCUGGGCCUUACCUGACGCUGAGGAGCGAAAGCGUGGGUAGCGAACAGG